GAUGAACGCUAGCGGGAGGCCUAACACAUGCAAGCCGAGCGGUAUGGGUAGCUUGCUACCCAGAGAGCGGCGUACGGGUGCGUAACACGUGUGCAACCUGCCCCUAUCCGGGGGAUAGCCCUCCGAAAGGAGGAUUAAUACCCCAUAAUAUAUCUGGUGGCAUCACUAGAUAUUGAAAACCCCGGUGGAUAGGGAUGGGCACGCGCAAGAUUAGAUAGUUGGCGGGGUAACGGCCCACCAAGUCGAUGAUCUUUAGGGGUCCUGAGAGGGAGAUCCCCCACACUGGUACUGAGACACGGACCAGACUCCUACGGGAGGCAGCAGUGAGGAAGAUUGGACAAUGGGUGGAAGCCUGAUCCAGCCAUCCCGCGUGAGGGACGACGGCCCUAUGGGUUGUAAACCUCUUUUGUACGGGGAUAAACCUAUCUACGUGUAGAUAGCUGAAGGUACCGUACGAAUAAGCACCGGCUAACUCCGUG
rnacentral:rRNA from 1 species